UACGGGGGGGUAAGCGUUGUUCGGAAUUACUGGGCGUAAAGGCUCGUAGGCGGCCAACUAAGUCGGACGUGAAAUCCCUCAGCUUAACUGGGGAACUGCGUCCGAUACUGGAUGGCUUGGAUUGGGAGAGGGAUGCGGAAUUCCAGGUGUAGCGGUGAAAUGCGUAGAUAUCGUAAGGAAGACCAGUGGCGAAGGCGGGUCGCUGGACAGUUCCUGACGCUGAGGCACGAAGGUCAGGGGAGCAAACGGG
rnacentral:rRNA from 1 species